GUUGGAGCAGAUUACUCCUCACAGCUCUUUUUAAAGCGGCGCGAUUUGGAGCUUUUAAACUGUGGAUUUGUUUGGCCACCAAGUGGAUCUGAGGCUCAGGCUGGGGCGAGGCGGACCGCAAAUGUCACUUGUUAUUUUAAAGCUGGGCUGUAACAAGGCUGCAGCUGCAUCCUAAAUGAGGUGUGAUGGACGUCAGAUGAGCCCUGCAGCACGCUUGGUUCGUCCGCAGCAGAUCAGCUCUCGUCCUGCAGGAGGUCUGAGACGGUCCAGGCGGCUGACAGAGGCGAUGUGUGUUGAACUUGUUGUUGCAUUGAACUAGACUCACUCAUCAUUGUCCCUUUAAGGAUUGCCUUGACUUCUCUGUGGUGCAAUGGCAUAUAAAAAGUUAGUGUGGAGUUUUUCCAGACAGGCUGGAGUUGACUUCCAUCGUAGCCACACUCAGAGGUAAAGAGGUCAGUGUAGUAGAGACGCUGAGGAAGUGGCUCCAUCCAUUUGGACUUCAUCAGCUUGUUCUCACUUUACGUUUAUAGAGUUUAUAUCGGGUAUACUUAUACUAUGUGUCAAUAAACAUAAUACAUUAAUAGACAGAUGAACCAAGAGGCUUUUAAACGAAAUAAAAGAAAUAAGAAAAAAUGA